ensembl:lncRNA HRG-AS1 HRG and FETUB antisense RNA 1
UGCCUGGAGUGAAGAUUCUGCCCAUUGGUCAAGAGACCUCCCUCUCAGAUGCUGGCUCUGCCCCUGCCUUUGGGGGUCGACCCUUGUACUCGCAGGACCUUAGGUGACUCUAUUCUACUUCUCUGAUCAUCCAGGAAGCCAACCUGCCUGAGGACGAGUCAUACUCUGUCCUCCCACCCCAGGCCAGAGAGUGGUAUCUGUCUUUCCACAAGUUCUUGAUGCAGAUGAGCAGGUAACCAUGGAAGUCGUGAGCUGAGGCUGCAGAGUCUAGAGCCAGAGUGUGGAAUAAACUUGGGUCUCAAAUCACCCCUGGAGCAAAGCACCCAUCUAAUCAGGAACUUCUACUUUCAACUUUACAUGCGUGAGAAAUGAACUUCUAUCAUGUUAGAACUUUGAUGUCUUCAAAGCAAGGCGAGUGAGUGGCACUCUUCAGACAAGAAGGAAGAUGGCAGGUGAAAUCAUCUUCUUCUAAUGAGCCCUGUGCUAUGCUUGCUGAUGUCCUUGGUCACGGAGAUUUUCAGAAAAGCCAUGGCCUUACCAGUGAAGGUUACACAGAGGCCACUGGAGUCAAGUAAUUCAUUGCUCCUUAUUACAUUUAGGCACUUCUUUAUCCAUCAUGCAGGCUAUUGGGAUUAAAAUGGGUCCUUUCAACAAUGAGUCAAUAUUGAA